UACGUAGGGUGCGAGCGUUAAUCGGAAUUACUGGGCGUAAAGCGUGCGCAGGCGGUUUUGUAAGCCAGAUGUGAAAUCCCCGGGCUUAACCUGGGAAUGGCAUUUGGGACUGCAAGGCUUGAGUGCGGCAGAGGAGACUGGAAUUCCUGGUGUAGCAGUGAAAUGCGUAGAGAUGUGGAGGAACACCAGUGGCGAAGGCGGCUUUCUGGUCUGUAACUGACGCUGAGGCGCGAAAGCCGUGGGGAGCAAACAGG
rnacentral:rRNA from 1 species